rnacentral:rRNA from 1 species
UACGUAGGGUCCGAGCGUUGUCCGGAAUUAUUGGGCGUAAAGGGCUCGUAGGCGGUUUGUUGCGUCGGGAGUGAAAACUUACAGCUUAACUGUGAGCGUGCUUCCGAUACGGGCAGACUUGAGGUAUUCAGGGGAGAACGGAAUUCCUGGUGUAGCGGUGAAAUGCGUAGAUAUCAGGAGGAACACCGAUGGCGAAGGCAGGUCUCUGGGCUGACACUGACGCUCAUGCACGAAAGCGUGGGGAGCAAACAGG